CUGAAAUUGACAAUGCCAGGGUAAAGGAUAUGGACAUGAUUGCCAGCACCUCUAAAUCUGAAGAAGCACUGAUUGGGAGACUUGAUGUCAACACUGAGGGCUUUGUUAGCGACAUUGAAAUGAGUUCUGGAGAAGGAACUGGUAAAUGCAAAACUGAAACAAACAUUGAACUUAAUAAAUUAGAUGAAAUAAAAUUAGGUGGUAAUCAAACUACAGUGGGAAAUGAAACUCUGCAGGAAGUUUGCUUUACUUCAGAGAAAGUGGAGGAAUUACCACAGCCUCUGAUACCCGAAGUGACUUCUGAACUUGGAGCAGAAAGCAAUAAUGUAUCCCCUGUCAAGUUAGAGCUGGAUCCUUCCUUUGGAUCAGCAAGUGAAAGUCCUAGUG
rnacentral:lncRNA from 1 species